rnacentral:tRNA from 1 species
UCCCUGGUGGCUCAGAUGGUAAAGAACCUGCCUGCUACGCAGGAGACCUGGGUUCAAUUCCUGGGUUGGGAA